AUGAACGCUGGCGGCGUGCCUAAUACAUGCAAGUCGAGCGAACAGACGAGGAGCUUGCUCCUCUGACGUUAGCGGCGGACGGGUGAGUAACACGUGGAUAACCUACCUAUAAGACUGGGAUAACUUCGGGAAACCGGAGCUAAUACCGGAUAAUAUAUUGAACCGCAUGGUUCAAUAGUGAAAGACGGUUUUGCUGUCACUUAUAGAUGGAUCCGCGCCGCAUUAGCUAGUUGGUAAGGUAACGGCUUACCAAGGCAACGAUGCGUAGCCGACCUGAGAGGGGGAUCCGCCACACCGGAACUUGGACCACGUCCCGACUCCUUCGGGAGGGCGGCGGUGGGAAUUCUUCGGCAUGGGGCGAAGCCCUACCGGGGCACCGCCGCGGGGUUGAUGAGGGUCUUGGAUCCGUAAACCCCUGUUAUUGGGAAAAACAAAAUGUGUAGGUACUAUUCACGGUUUGACGGUACCUAAUCAGAAAGCCACGGCUAACUACGUG
rnacentral:rRNA from 1 species